rnacentral:rRNA from 1 species
UUAGAGUUUGAUCAUGGCUCAGGAUGAACGCUGGCGGUGUGCUUAACACAUGCAAGUCGAACGAAACACUUUUAAAUAAAUUCUUCGAAGCUAUUUAAAAGUGUUUAGUGGCAGACGGCUGAGUAAUACAUUGGUACCUACCCCGAAGUGGGGGAUAGCUCAUCGAAAGAUGGGGUAAUCCCGCAUGUGCUCCUCGGAGUAAAGCUUUUGCGCUUUGGGAAGGGCCUUUGUCCUAUCAGUUAGUUGGUGAGGUAAUGGCUUACCAAGACUAUGACGGGUAGCUGGAUCGAGAGGUCGACCAGCCAGACUGGGACUGAGACACGGCCCAGACUCCUACGGGAGGCAGCAGUGAGGAAUUUUCCGCAAUGGGCGAAAGCCUGACGGAGCGACACCGCGUGAAGGAUGAAGCUUUUCGGAGUGUAAACUUCUUUUAUGUGUGAAGAUUAUGACGGUAACAUAUGAAUAAGCACCGGCUAACUACGUGCCAGCAGCCGCGGUAAUACGUAGGGUGCAAGCGUUAUUCGGAUUUACUGGGCGUAAAGAGUGUGUAGGCGGCUUUAUAAGUUAGAUGUUAAAUAUGCGGGCUCAACCCGUCUGCUGCAUCUAAGACUGUAAGGCUUGAGAGUGGAAGAGGCAAAUGGAAUUUCUGGUGGAGCGGUUAAAUGCGUAGAUAUCAGAAGGAACACCAAUGGCGAAGGCAGUUUGCUGGGCCAUUUCUGACGCUGAGACACGAAAGCGUGGGGAGCGAUCGGGAUUAGAUACCCCGGUAGUCCACGCCGUAAACGAUGGAUACUAGCUUUUCGGAGUAUCGACCCUCUUGAGAAGCGAAGCUAACGCGUUAAGUAUCCCGUCUGGGGGAGUACGGUCGCAAGACUAAAACUCAAAGGAAUUG